rnacentral:rRNA from 1 species
UUCCUUGUCGGGUAAGUUCCGACCUGCACGAAUGGUGCAACGAUCUGGACACUGUCUCAACCAUGAGCUCGGUGAAAUUGUAGUAUCGGUGAAGAUGCCGGUUACCCGCAGUGGGACGAAAAGACCCCGUGCACCUUUACUAUAGCUUCGUAUUGACUUCGGUCAAGCAAUGUGUAGGAUAGCUGGGAGACUUUGAAGCUGCAUCGCCAGGUGUGGUGGAGUCAUUGUUGAAAUACCAGCCUUUGCUUGUCUGAAGCCUAACCUUCUUUUGAAGGAACAGUGCGUGGUGGGUAGUUUGACUGGGGCGGUCGCCUCCUAAAAGGUAACGGAGGCGCUCAAAGGUUCCCUCAGAAUGGUUGGAAAUCAUUCAUAGAGUGUAAAGGCAUAAGGGAGCUUGACUGCGAGACCUACAAGUCGAGCAGGGUCGAAAGACGGACUUAGUGAUCCGGUGGUUCCGCAUGGAAGGGCCAUCGCUCAACGGAUAAAAGGUACUCCGGGG